AGAAUCAACGCUGGCGGCGUGCCUAACACAUGCAAGUCGAACGCGGUUACCUCGCAAGGGGUGACUGAGUGGCGAACGGGUGAGUAACACGUGGGUGACCUACCUUCGAGUGGGGGAUAACGUCCCGAAAGGGACGCUAAUACCGCAUAACAUCCUGCCUUUGAACAGGCGGAGAUCAAAGCUGGGGAUCGCAAGACCUGGCGCUUGAUGAGGGGCCCGCGUCCGAUUAGCUAGUUGGUGAGGUAACGGCUCACCAGGGCGACGAUC
rnacentral:rRNA from 1 species